UCUCAGUUCGGAUUGGGGUCUGCAACUCGACCCCAUGAAGUCGGAGUUGCUAGUAAUCGCAGAUCAGCAUUGCUGCGGUGAAUACGUUCCCGGGCCUUGUACACACCGCCCGUCACGUCACGAAAGUCGGUAACACCCGAAGCCGGUGGCCCAACCCCUUGUGGGAG
rnacentral:rRNA from 1 species